rnacentral:rRNA from 1 species
UACGGGGGGGGCAAGCGUUGUUCGGAAUCACUGGGCGUAAAGCGCACGUAGGCGGGUCGUUAAGUCAGGGGUGAAAUCCCGGAGCUCAACUCCGGAACUGCCUUUGAUACUGGCGAUCUUGAGUUCGAGAGAGGUGAGUGGAACUGCGAGUGUAGAGGUGAAAUUCGUAGAUAUUCGCAAGAACACCAGUGGCGAAGGCGGCUCACUGGCUCGAUACUGACGCUGAGGUGCGAAAGCGUGGGGAGCAAACAGG